rnacentral:lncRNA from 1 species
CAAGACCUGUUUGGCUAGUGAGAAAAUGAGGGAAAAUGAAAGAAAAUAAAGAAUUGUGUUGAGAGAAAGAGUUUCUAGAAAAUUCCAAAAUUCAAAGUGUCAAAAAGGUUGUUUUAAUAAGAGUGUCCAAGUCCUAUUUAUAAGAAGAUUACAUAACUGGAUACUUGGCAUCAUCUAAGAAGUCUUCCAAAAUCUUCUAAAUUCAAAGAAAUCUAGAAAUUUAACAUUUUGCAUGAAAUUUGAACAUUUUGCACGAUUGCAACACUUUCACAUGAGAUAUUCCCAUUUCGCAUGGUCAUGCGAAAUUCUAUGGUGAGUCGUAGUAGCAUGUUUGAAACACUUUCUGGACCAUUUCGC